AAAACACAACUUUGAUAGAAUAAUCAACAGAAAGUCCUAACACAUAACUGGUAAACCCAAUGCCUUGUCUACAUGUUCUCUACCUCUCAGUCCUAUUCCCACUCCUCCAGAAGCAGGGCAGUGAUGACCCCAGUUGUCCCUAUAGCUCCGGGGGAGCUGGAGUCCCCUGGGACCAGUGAUGAUGAGGAGGCCACAGACCGGAAGGAGAGGGUCUCCAGUGCCAGGGAACGCCAUGAGCAAGCCAAAGCCAUGAUGGACACAUUCACUGAGAAGUUCCACUCUAUCGCAGAGGAUCUCCAAGAGAUGAAGAUUCCCAGGAAGAGGUCCACUUGACUGCGGUCAUCAUGCUCCCAGUCUGCCAAUGAGGAUGGAUCCCCUCUGGCCUCUACCCAAUCAGAUAAGGCCCUGAGGCGAGACUGGUCUCGACAUAUGAUUACAGCCGGAGAGGCCGGUGGUGACAUCAAUCGAACACCUUCAUCAGCGUCAUUAUUCUCUUUGCCAACCAUUUAUGAGGUCGUCAAGGGGAGCAGGGAGUCCAAACCUGAUGUGUCCGGAGAUGAUGUCAAAAAGAGCAAGAUGUCCAAAUGUAAAGUCAGGCAAGGCUUUCGCUAUUUCACCAAGGCUUUGACUGGACUGUUGCGUACAAAAGAUGACCCUACUGGAGAUGGACGGAUUGCGCGAAGUGUGACACCAUCCAAUGACACACUCAACAUGGUCAUGGCUCCUCCACAUCCACUCACUAACUGGCAUUUGUGAACUACAUUCAGACAAAAAGGCAACCGCAUUUUGUAUGGAUGAUAUUUAGCAGAGGAUAUGUUUUUAUUAUAUAAAGGAUACAAAUGAAUAA